UUAGAGUUUGAUCCUGGCUCAGAGCGAACGCUGGCGGCAGGCUUAACACAUGCAAGUCGAGCGGGCGUAGCAAUACGUCAGCGGCAGACGGGUGAGUAACGCGUGGGAACGUACCUUUUGGUUCGGAACAACACAGGGAAACUUGUGCUAAUACCGGAUAAGCCCUUACGGGGAAAGAUUUAUCGCCGAAAGAUCGGCCCGCGUCUGAUUAGCUAGUUGGUGAGGUAACGGCUCACCAAGGCGACGAUCAGUAGCUGGUCUGAGAGGAUGAUCAGCCACAUUGGGACUGAGACACGGCCCAAACUCCUACGGGAGGCAGCAGUGGGGAAUAUUGGACAAUGGGCGCAAGCCUGAUCCAGCCAUGCCGCGUGAGUGAUGAAGGCCCUAGGGUUGUAAAGCUCUUUUGUGCGGGAAGAUAAUGACGGUACCGCAAGAAUAAGCCCCGGCUAACUUCGUGCCAGCAGCCGCGGUCAUAUGAAGGGGGUUAGCGUUGCUCGGAAUCACUGGGCGUAAAGGGCGCGUAGACGGGUCUUUAACUCAGAGGUGAAAUCCUGGACCUCAACUCCAGAUCUGCCUUUGAUAUUG
rnacentral:rRNA from 1 species